UCAGGUGAGACGCCUCCUGUUUGCACGAAGCAGCAGCAAGCAAUGCAAUGCUGACAGUGGAGGAAGGCCAAGCCAAAAGUGAAAAGACCAGGCUCAGAGGGAUUCCACUUUGCAACUCGCCAGCCAUGCAGCAUGAAUUCAACAAUACAUCUUCGGUUGAAGUACGAUGUGAUCACAUCAGUGCCUGUGGCAGAGAGAGUGAGAAGAAAACAGCCAGAGAAAGUCCAGCCAGCUUCUGGCUGCAGCAGGAGACGACUCGGAGGAGCUCGUCCUUGAACGCUGAGGUUUGAGCUGAAAUCAGAGCGACCGCUGUGCGAUCUGCAGCCACGUCUGCCUUUGAUUAGGAGCUUUGAAGCCGCUGGGUGCAGCUCACCACCGUCCCAUGUGUUCUACAGCAACAGAUUCAUCUUUGACUCACUCACCACCGUGGUUCAGACCAAAAAAUCUGUCUGUCCGGCCCGUUUGAUCUCAAAUAUUUAUCUGUGAGACACUGAAACUCCCGCUGUAGCAGCCUCUCACUCCUGACUCCAGCAGUCAUGUUGUGAGACCUCCAGAUCACAAGACCAAUGUUUUAAGCCUGGACUGAAAAAAGAUUGUUUAAUUCAAAUUUAGAACUACAAUGAUAAUAAAUCAGUGACUCAUCGGGAAGAAACUUGAUAAACAUUUAACUGUUUGUUGUCUUUUUUUCUUUUAGAAAACAAGUAAAAACUGAAUAUUAUUUGUUUGUUUUGCCCUUCUUCCUGUCAAACUUGUAAUAUAAUCACCUGAUCUCAAUUAUUUGAGUUGGAAAGACUCGGCAGAACACUGUUCCUACGUCAUUUCCACUGUUUGCAGGCUGUUCUUCUGAUGUGGUUUAUCUGGAGGACCUUCUAAUAUUCAGCUUAGGCGAUUUGCUGGAUUUGAAGCAAAAACGUGUCGUUCAAAGGCACUAAUGCCACUAAUCUAAGACUAACACAGGCACAAAAUGAACAAAGACAGUGCAGUCAGUCAUUACAAUUAUUUGUGCAACAGUUGAUUAACUAAACAACUAAAGUUCCAUGAUCAUGACAGCCCUAUCGCUGAUGAGGUUUAGGGAUGUUGGUUAGAUAAAAAAAAGAAGCUCUGCAAUGUUGUAAACAAGGCCUUCCUACCUCAGUGUAUUUUGAGUUUAACUAAAGUUUAAAUGAAUGAAGGAAGACAUCAUUUCUUAGCCUGGGACUAAUUUUUUUCCACAUUUGCAACUGACUAACUGGCAACAUCACUAAAAAAACUAAUCAAAAGUUAGUUGAGAUUAUUUAGUUGAGUAGAAGUAACAGUACAAGAAACAGUGAGCUAAACUUAAUUAGUGAGGACGGCUUCAGUGGUAUUAAAGGGAUCAAAAGUGACAGAACCCAGUCAGAAGAAGGGGUGAGUGUUUAAUCUGUUAUAGUAUAGUAGCGUGAGUAAGUAUCAUUUUAAAUGUGGUCCCACUGAAGCAUAAUCUAUUUCACCUUAGAAGGUGUUUUUGCAUUAAAAAAAAGGUUACUUCCACCAUCAGAUAAAUCUACUAGUUCAAAAAUAAAGUGCUUAGCUCUUGAGUGUAGAAGGAUACAAACUGAAAAUAUCAUCAUACAAGUAAAUAUAGUUGGUGAUUAAUAACAUACUUUUAAAAAAUUUCUGACACAAAAUCCAAAACACUUUAAAAUUGAGUUUUCUUAUUUAAAAAGCCCACACAGUGAGCUCUGAGUAGUUUGAAGCUGCUUUUUAAAAUGCACAGCUGAACUUGGCCUUGAGCUGAACAAUUGUUCUGUUGUACUUGCAGUAAUGAAACAAAUGUGCAUCUCACAGAUCCUACUUGAUGAGGGUCCCCCUGCUUGUUCAUCCGUCUACAGUAAAGCAUUUCCUCCCGCAUCCCCUGUUUGCUCUGUGUCAACACGUUAACAGCAGUGUGCUCGGCCAGUUAGCCCUCAGAUCUCCAUGUCAUACAUUACAAAGACCUCUAUCUCUGCUUUACAAUUCACUGGGUGGCUGGAUCAAAGAGGCAGUGAACCCCGUCCACUUUCAAAGGCUUUAUAACUUGCAAUUGCAGCAGCAGGAGGAGCUGAAGGAAACGUUUAGGAUACAGCUUCCCUCAUGCAUAAGAUCAUAAACAUUAUCUGAGCUCUGAUCAUAAAUUAGCAGCACUGACCUGACAUGAAAGGACACAGAAACCUUCCCUUCAGUAGCAAGUAAAUUCAAAAUGCAGCCUGCAGUGUGUUGCUCUGCUGAGUUCUAAAACCAAAGCAGCAGUCUACAGCUCUUCCAUUUAUUUUUAGGAUAAAAACUUAUUUCUGUUCUUUGGGAUUUCAAGAUUUUCAGUCUCCAGGUAUCAGGUGAUCUGUAAUGACACAUCCUGGCUCACCUGUGGC